ACGCACGCUGGCGGCGUGCUUAACACAUGCCAGUCGAACGGAAAGGCCCUGCUUUUGUGGGGUGCUCGAGUGGCGAACGGGUGAGUAACACGUGAGUAACCUGCCCUUGACUUUGGGAUAACUUCAGGAAACUGGGGCUAAUACCGGAUAGGAGCUCCUGCUGCAUGGUGGGGGUUGGAAAGUUUCGGCGGUUGGGGAUGGACUCGCGGCUUAUCAGCUUGUUGGUGGGGUAGUGGCUUACCAAGGCUUUGACGGGUAGCCGGCCUGAGAGGGUGACCGGCCACAUUGGGACUGAGAUACGGCCCAGACUCCUACGGGAGGCAGCAGUGGGGAAUAUUGCACAAUGGGCGGAAGCCUGAUGCAGCAACGCCGCGUGCGGGAUGACGGCCUUCGGGUUGUAAACCGCUUUCGCCUGUGACGAAGCGUGAGUGAUGGUAAUGGGUAAAGAAGCACCGGCUAACUACGUG
rnacentral:rRNA from 1 species